rnacentral:sRNA from 1 species
AGAUGUGAAGGCAAUCUGGCUGUGACAUCUUUCACCCCAUUGAUCACCAGAGUUGAUUCUGCUGUUCUGGCUGAGUAGGCAGGAUGUCUUCUUCCCUUCCUCCCUCACCACUCCUUGUGCAUCCCUCCCAAAGCUGCGCACUCAGUCAAAGAGGACGACCAUCCCUGAUAGAGGAGGACUAGCAGAUGGCGUAAUGAUUACAUCGCUGAACUCCCACAUAGUCGACCACAGUUCAAGUCCUGAACCUGGUGGCUUAA